CUGUAUAUGUCCACUAAUAUGGUGUGGAUGUUUCUACGUGGUUACCGUAAAUUACUACACUAUAG
rnacentral:ncRNA from 1 species